rnacentral:rRNA from 1 species
GUCGAACGGUGAAGCCCAGCUUGCUGGGCGGAUCAGUGGCGAACGGGUGAGUAACACGUGAGCAACCUGCCCCCUACUUCGGGAUAAGCCUUGGAAACGAGGUCUAAUACCGGAUAUGAGCACCUACCGCAUGGUGGGUGUUGGAAAGUUUUUCGGUGGGGGAUGGGCUCGCGGCCUAUCAGCUUGUUGGUGGGGUAAUGGCCUACCAAGGCGUCGACGGGUAGCCGGCCUGAGAGGGCGACCGGCCACACUGGGACUGAGACACGGCCCAGACUCCUACGGGAGGCAGCAGUGGGGAAUAUUGCACAAUGGGCGAAAGCCUGAUGCAGCGACGCCACGUGAGGGAUGACGGCCUUCGGGUUGUAAACCUCUUUCAGCAGGGAAGAAGCGAAAGUGACGGUACCUGCAGAAGAAGCGCCGGCUAACUACGUGCCAGCAGCCGCGGUAAUACGUAGGGCGCAAGCGUUGUCCGGAAUUAUUGGGCGUAAAGAGCUCGUAGGCGGUCUGUCGCGUCUGGUGUGAAAUCCCAUGGCUCAACUGUGGGCUUGCAUCGGGUACGGGCAGACUAGAGUGCUGUAGGGGAGACUGGAAUUCCUGGUGUAGCGGUGGAAUGCGCAGAUAUCAGGAGGAACACCGAUGGCGAAGGCAGGUCUCUGGGCAGUUACUGACGCUGAGGAGCGAAAGCAUGGGGAGCGAACAGGAUUAGAUACCCUGGUAGUCCAUGCCGUAAACGUUGGGCACUAGGUGUGGGGCGGGUUCCACUCGUUCUGUGCCGCAGCUAACGCAUUAAGUGCCCCGCCUGGGGAGUACGGCCGCAAGGCUAAAACUCAAAGGAAUUGACGGGGGCCCGCACAAGCGGCGGAGCAUGCGGAUUAAUUCGAUGCAACGCGAAGAACCUUACCAAGGCUUGACAUGUACGAGAACGCGUUAGAGAUAACGAACUCUUUGGACAC